rnacentral:rRNA from 1 species
GUAGGGUGCGAGCGUUGUCCGGAAUUAUUGGGCGUAAAGAGCUCGUAGGCGGCUUGUCGCGUCGGAUGUGAAAGCCCGGGGCUUAACCCCGGGUCUGCAUUCGAUACGGGCAGGCUAGAGUUCGGUAGGGGAGAUCGGAAUUCCUGGUGUAGCGGUGAAAUGCGCAGAUAUCAGGAGGAACACCGGUGGCGAAGGCGGAUCUCUGGGCCGAUACUGACGCUGAGGAGCGAAAGCGUGGGGAGCGAACAGGAUUAGAUACCCUGGUAGUCCACGCCGUAAACGUUGGGAACUAGGUGUGGGCGACAUUCCACGUUGUCCGCGCCGCAGCUAACGCAUUAAGUUCCCCGCCUGGGGAGUACGGCCGCAAGGCUA